rnacentral:rRNA from 1 species
AUUGAACGCUGGCGGCAGGCCUAACACAUGCAAGUCGAGCGAGCGGCGGACGGGUGAGUAAUGUAUGGGGAUCUGCCCGAUAGAGGGGGAUAACUACUGGAAACGGUGGCUAAUACCGCAUACUAUCGGAGGAGCCCAGAUGGGAUUAGCUAGUCGGUGGGGUAAAGGCUCACCAAGGCGACGAUCUCUAGCUGGUCUGAGAGGAUGAUCAGACAAACAGGGACUGAGACACGGCCCAGACUCCUACGGGAGGCAGCAGAGGGGAAUAUUGAACAAUGGGCGCAAGCCUGACGAAGCCAUGCCGCGGGAAUGAAGAAGGCCUUAGGGUUGUAAAGUACUUUAGGCGGAGAGGCGGUACCCGCAGAAGAAGCAACGGCUAACUCCGUGCCAGCAGCCGCGGUAAUUC